CAGCAGCCGCGGUAAUGCGUAGGUGGCAAGCGUUGUCCGGAAUUAUUGGGCGUAAAGGGCUCGCAGGCGGUUUCUUAAGUCUGAUGUGAAAGCCCCCGGCUCAACCGGGGAGGGUCAUUGGAAACUGGGAAACUUGAGUGCAGAAGAGGAGAGUGGAACUCCACGUGUAGCGGUGAAAUGCGUAGAGAUGUGGAGGAACACCAGUGGCGAAGGCGACUCUCUGGUCUGUAACUGACGCUGAGGAGCGAAAGCGUGGGGAGCGAACAGGAUUAGAUACCCCGGUAGUCCCUGUCUCUUAUAC
rnacentral:rRNA from 1 species